rnacentral:rRNA from 1 species
AUUGAACGCUGGCGGCAUGCCUUACACAUGCAAGUCGAACGGCAGCGGGGGAGAAGCUUGCUUUUCCUGCCGGCGAGUGGCGAACGGGUGAGUAAUACAUCGGAACGUGCCCUGUAGUGGGGGAUAACUAGUCGAAAGAUUAGCUAAUACCGCAUACGACCUGAGGGUGAAAGUGGGGGACCGCAAGGCCUCAUGCUAUAGGAGCGGCCGAUGUCUGAUUAGCUAGUUGGUGGGGUAAAGGCCUACCAAGGCGACGAUCAGUAGCUGGUCUGAGAGGACGAUCAGCCACACUGGGACUGAGACACGGCCCAGACUCCUACGGGAGGCAGCAGUGGGGAAUUUUGGACAAUGGGCGAAAGCCUGAUCCAGCAAUGCCGCGUGUGUGAAGAAGGCCUUCGGGUUGUAAAGCACUUUUGUCCGGAAAGAAAUGGCUCUGGUUAAUACCUGGGGUCGAUGACGGUACCGGAAGAAUAAGGACCGGCUAACUCUGUGCCAGCAGCCGCCGUAA